rnacentral:rRNA from 1 species
CAGGGUGGCCAUACCUCCCUGAAUGCGUGCGAUCUCGUCUGAUCUUAGAAGCUAAGCAGAGUUGGGCCUGGUUAGUACUUGGAUGGGGAGAUAGAACUAGAUGUCGACAGGC